UUUCCGUAGGUGAACCUGCGGAAGGAUCAUUAUUGUAUAACCGAGGUGCGAGGGCUGUCGCUGACCCGAAAGGUCGUGCACGCCCGAGUGCCCUCACACACAUCCAUCUCACCCCUAUGUGCACCACCGCGUGGGUCCCCCUUUGGCUUGUUCGGAGGGGGGCUUACGUUUUCACACAAACUUUGUAUGCAGUGUAGAAUGUAUUUUUUGUUUUUGCGAUCACGCAAUCAAUACAACUUUCAACAACGGAUCUCUUGGCCCUCACAUCGAUGAAGAACGCAGC
rnacentral:misc_RNA from 1 species